GGACUAUGAACGCCAUGGCAGCCAGAAUGACUGUCAGAGCCCACGGUUCCCUGCAGAGAACGCAGAGGGAUGACCAAGUACAGGGAUAUGAAUUUUACAUGCUCUCAGUGACUGCAAGGAAGAGCAGAGUAACUCAACUUAUCAGAACAUUAGCCAGCACUCCAUUUAAUCACCAAAGCAGUAUUCGCCAGAUGCAGCAUCUGCAAUGUGCUAAUUUGGGAUAAUAAACUAGAAAAUACUUCUGGAGAGAUGGGAGUAUUGCAAAGGACUGACAUCUCACACAUAUGG
rnacentral:lncRNA from 1 species